GGCCCCAUCGUCUAGCCCGGCCUAGGACACCAGGUUUUCAUCCUGGCGACAGGGGUUCGAAUCCCCUUGGGGUCACCA
rnacentral:tRNA from 2 species